rnacentral:rRNA from 4 species
AGUCGAACGGUGAUGUCAGAGCUUGCUCUGGCGGAUCAGUGGCGAACGGGUGAGUAACACGUGAGUAACCUGCCCCCGACUCUGGGAUAACUGCUAGAAAUGGUAGCUAAUACCGGAUAUGACGACUGGCCGCAUGGUCUGGUCGUGGAAAGAAUUUCGGUUGGGGAUGGACUCGCGGCCUAUCAGGUAGUUGGUGAGGUAAUGGCUCACCAAGCCUACGACGGGUAGCCGGCCUGAGAGGGUGACCGGCCACACUGGGACUGAGACACGGCCCAGACUCCUACGGGAGGCAGCAGUGGGGAAUAUUGCACAAUGGGCGAAAGCCUGAUGCAGCAACGCCGCGUGAGGGAUGACGGCCUUCGGGUUGUAAACCUCUUUUAGUAGGGAAGAAGCGAAAGUGACGGUACCUGCAGAAAAAGCACCGGCUAACUACGUGCCAGCAGCCGCGGUAAUACGUAGGGUGCAAGCGUUGUCCGGAAUUAUUGGGCGUAAAGAGCUCGUAGGCGGUUUGUCGCGUCUGCUGUGAAAUCCCGAGGCUCAACCUCGGGUCUGCAGUGGGUACGGGCAGACUAGAGUGCGGUAGGGGAGAUUGGAAUUCCUGGUGUAGCGGUGGAAUGCGCAGAUAUCAGGAGGAACACCGAUGGCGAAGGCAGAUCUCUGGGCCGUAACUGACGCUGAGGAGCGAAAGCAUGGGGAGCGAACAGGAUUAGAUACCCUGGUAGUCCAUGCCGUAAACGUUGGGAACUAGAUGUGGGGACCAUUCCACGGUCUCCGUGUCGCAGCUAACGCAUUAAGUUCCCCGCCUGGGGAGUACGGCCGCAAGGCUAAAACUCAAAGGAAUUUGACGGGGGCCCGCACAAGCGGCGGAGCAUGCGGAUUAAUUCGAUGCAACGCGAAGAACCUUA